GACGAACCGUGCGAACGUUAUUCGGAAUCACUGGGCUUAAAGCGCGUGUAGGCGGGCCGGCACGUCCGUCGCUGAAAUCCCCCGGCUCAACCGGGGAAGGGGCGCGGAUACGACCGGCCUGGAGGGGGGUAGGGGGCGCUGGAACUCACGGUGGAGCGGUGAAAUGCGUUGAGAUCGUGAGGAACGCCCGCGGCGAAAGCGAGCGCCUGGACCCUUUCUGACGCUGAGACGCGAAAGCCAGGGGAGCGAACGGG
rnacentral:rRNA from 1 species